rnacentral:sRNA from 1 species
CCAAACGCAAAUUGUCACCUUUUGACAUUUGCAAUCUAAAUUAAUAAACUUUAUAUUUUGGCCUUAUUUUAAUAUUUGGUUUUAUUUCGAAGGUAAAUAUAUUUUCAUUUUAGUUAUUAUUCUUUGUCAAUUUUAAGAACUGUUUUAUUGUGAGUUUAUACCUUUUGACAUUUGCAAUCUAAAUUAAUAAACUUUAUAUUUUGGCCUUAUUUUAAUAUUUGGUUUUAUUUCGAAGAUAAAUAUAUUUUCAUUUAAUGUUAAUUUUCUUUUUCAGUUUUAAGAGCUGUUUUAUUGUGAGUUUACACCUUAUGACAUUUGCAAUCUAAAUUAAUAAACUUUAUACUUUGGCCUU